rnacentral:tRNA from 1 species
GAGGGUGUAGCUCAAGUGGUAGAGCGCCUGCUUAGCAUGCAUGAGGUCCUGGGUUCAAUCCCCAGUACCUCCU